rnacentral:rRNA from 1 species
GCAGCAGCCGCGGUAAUACGUAGGUGGCAAGCGUUGUCCGGAAUUAUUGGGCGUAAAGCGCGCGCAGGCGGAUAGGUCAGUCUGUCUUAAAAGUUCGGGGCUUAACCCCGUGAUGGGAUGGAAACUGCCAACCUAGAGUAUCGGAGAGGAAAGUGGGAUUCCUAGUGUAGCGGUGAAAUGCGUAGAUAUUAGGAAGAGCACCAGUGGCGAAGGCGACUUUCUGGACGAAAACUGACGCUGAGGCGCGAAAGCCAGGGGAGCGAACGGGAUUAGAUACCUCAGUAGUCCCUGUCUCUUAUACA